AAUGCGGAUUAAGACCAACAGGGAUGCCCUUAGUAACGGCGAAGUGAAGCGGCAACAGCUCAAAUUUGAAAUCUGGCGCAGCCCGAGUUGUAAUUUGUAGAGGAUGCUUCGGGGCAGCGGCCGGUCUAAGUUCCUUGGAACAGGACGUCAUAGAGGGUGAGAAUCCCGUCUGCGACCGGCUGGCACCCCACACGUAGCUCCUUCGACGAGUCGAGUUGUUUGGGAAUGCAGCUCUAAAUGGGAGGUAAAUUUCUUCUAAAGCUAAAUACCGGCCAGAGACCGAUAGCGCACAAGUAGAGUGAUCGAAAGAUGAAAAGCACUUUGGAAAGAGAGUUAAAAAGCACGUGAAAUUGUUAAAAGGGAAGCGCUUGCAACCAGACUUGUCGACGGUGUUCCGCCGGUCUUCUGACCGGUUCACUCGUCGUCGGCAGGCCAGCAUCGUCUGGGGGCCGCCGGGAUAAAAGGCUUGGGGGAAUGUGGCUCCUCCGGGAGUGUUAUAGCCCCUCGCACAAUACGGCGCGCCUCGGGCGAGGUCCGCACUUCGGUAAGGAUGCUGGCGUAAUGGUCGUAAGCGGCCCGUCUUGAAACACGGACCAAGGAGUCGAUCAAUCGUGCGAGUGUUCGGGUGAAAAACCCUUGCGCGCAAUGAAAGUGAACGGAGGCGAGAACUUCGGUGCAUCGUCGACCGAUCCAGAUGUCUUCGGAUGGAUUUGAGUAAGAGCAUGGCUGAUCGGACCCGAAAGAUGGUGAACUAUGCCUGAAUAGGGUGAAGCCAGAGGAAACUCUGGUGGAGGCUCGCAGCGGUUCUGACGUGCAAAUCGAUCGUCAAAUUUGGGUAUAGGGGCGAAAGACUAAUCGAACCAUUAACCUACUAGGUGGUUAAUCUGUCGGACAAACGACACAGGCGGCACAGGGGCCGCCGACACCGUCAAAUUGCGGGGACGCGCUGAGCGUUCUCGCCGGCCGCCGCCCUCGGAAACGGGGUGCACGGCGCGGCGUCCCUAACGGGAUGGCCACACGGCCGGCGCGAAAUUGGUUGACCCGCAGCCAAGUCCGCAGUCGCAGGGGGCGACCCGGACGCAGUUAACAGACUCGACGUCGGUGGGCCGGCGCAAGGGGCGUCGGCUUGAGAUAGAGUCGGUUCGCCGCGAGAGCGACCGAGACC
rnacentral:rRNA from 1 species